CCUACGGGUGGCAGCAGUGAGGAAUAUUGGUCAAUGGGCGAGAGCCUAAACCAGCCAAGUCGCGUGAAGGAUGACGGCCCUACGGGUUGUAAACUUCUUUUGUCAGGGAGCAAUUGAGUCCACGUGUGGUCUUAGCGAGAUUACCUGCAGAAAAAGCAUCGGCUAACUCCGUGCCAGCAGCCGCGGUAAUACGGAGGAUGCGAGCGUUAUCCGGUUUUAUUGGGUUUAAAGGGUGCGUAGGCGGAAGAUCAAGUCAGCGGUAAAAAUUCGGGGCUAAACCCAGUCGUGCCGUUGAAACGGAUGGUCUUGAGUGGGCGAGAAGUAGGCGGAAUGCGGGGUGUAGCGGUGAAAUGCAUAGAUAUCACGAAGAACUCCGAUUGCGAAGGCAGCAUACCGGCGCCCAACUGACGCUGAAGCACGAAAGCGUGGGUAUCGAACAGGAUUAGAUACCCGGGUAGUC
rnacentral:rRNA from 1 species